GACGAACGCUGGCGGCGUGCUUAACACAUGCAAGUCGAACGGAAAGGCCCUGCUUUUGUGGGGUGCUCGAGUGGCGAACGGGUGAGUAACACGUGAGUAACCUGCCCUUGACUUUGGGAUAACUUCAGGAAACUGGGGCUAAUACCGGAUAGGAGCUCCUGCUGCAUGGUGGGGGUUGGAAAGUUUCGGCGGUUGGGGGUGGACUCGCGGCUUAUCAGCUUGUUGGUGGGGUAGUGGCUUACCAAGGCUUUGACGGGUAGCCGGCCUGAGAGGGUGACCGGCCACAUUGGGACUGCGAUACGGCCCAGACUCCUACGGGAGGCAGCAGUGGGGAAUAUUGCACAAUGGGCGGAAGCCUGAUGCAGCAACGCCGCGUGCGGGAUGACGGCCUUCGGGUUGUAAACCGCUUUCGCCUGUGACGAAGCGUGAGUGACGGUAAUGGGUAAAGAAGCACCGGCUAACUACGUG
rnacentral:rRNA from 1 species